CCCGUUAAACCUCACCCUCCCUUGUUAUUCCCGCCUAUAUACCGCCGUCGUCAGCCCACCCUGUGAAGGUCUAGAAGUGAGCAAAAUUGGUAAAACCUAAAACGUCAGGUCGAGGUGUAGUAUAUGAGAGGGGAAGAAAUGGGCUACAUUUCCUAAUCUAGGAAAUCGAACAAUGUACUGAGACAAACAUUAGACGGUGGAUUUAGCAGUAAGCAAGAAAUCAGAGAGUUCUGCUGAAGAUCUACGGCACUAAAGCACGCACAUAUCGCCCGUCACUCUCCCCGAAAUACCUAAAAAGUCGUAUCCAUAAAGGGGAGGCAAGUCGUAACAUGGUAAGCGUACCGGAAGGUGCGCUUGGAUUAAACAGAGUGCAACUUA
rnacentral:rRNA from 1 species